UACAGAGGGUGCGAGCGUUGUUCGGAAUUAUUGGGCGUAAAGGGCGCGUAGGCGGUGCGGUAAGUCACCUGUGAAAUCUCCUGGCUCAACUGGGAGCUUGCAGGCGAAACUGCCGUGCUGGAGUGUGGGAGAGGUGCGUGGAAUUCCUGGUGUAGCGGUGAAAUGCGUAGAUAUCGUUUGGAACGCCAAUGGUGAAAACAAGUAGCUGGGGAUGUGCCGACGCUGAGACACGAAAGCCAGGGGAGCGAACGGG
rnacentral:rRNA from 1 species